GAUGAACGCUAGCUACAGGCUUAACACAUGCAAGUCGAGGGGAAACGGCAUUAAGUGCUUGCACUUUUUGGACGUCGACCGGCGCACGGGUGAGUAACGCGUAUCCAACCUUCCCAUGACUAAGGGAUAACCUGCCGAAAGGCAGACUAAUACCUUAUGGUCUUCACUGACGGCAUCAGAUGUGAAGUAAAGAUUUAUCGGUUAUGGAUGGGGAUGCGUCUGAUUAGCUUGUUGGCGGGGUAACGGCCCACCAAGGCAACGAUCAGUAGGGGUUCUGAGAGGAAGGUCCCCCACAUUGGAACUGAGACACGGUCCAAACUCCUACGGGAGGCAGCAGUGAGGAAUAUUGGUCAAUGGGUGAGAGCCUGAACCAGCCAAGUAGCGUGCAGGAUGACGGCCCUAUGGGUUGUAAACUGCUUUUGUAUGGGGAUAAAGUCAAUCACGUGUGAUUGUUUGCAGGUACCAUACGAAUAAGGACCGGCUAAUUCCGUGCCAGCAGCCGCGGUAAUACGGAAGGUCCGGGCGUUAUCCGGAUUUAUUGGGUUUAAAGGGAGCGUAGGCUGGAGAUUAAGUGUGUUGUGAAAUGUAGACGCUCAACGUCUGACUUGCAGCGCAUACUGGUUUCCUUGAGUACGCACAACGUUGGCGGAAUUCGUCGUGUAGCGGUGAAAUGCUUAGAUAUGACGAAGAACUCCGAUUGCGAAGGCAGCUGACGGGAGCGCAACUGACGCUGAAGCUCGAAGGUGCGGGUAUCGAACAGG
rnacentral:rRNA from 1 species